rnacentral:rRNA from 1 species
ACGUAGGGUGCGAGCGUUAAUCGGAAUUACUGGGCGUAAAGCGUGCGCAGGCGGUUAUGUAAGACAGAUGUGAAAUCCCCGGGCUUAACCUGGGAACUGCGUUUGUGACUGCAUAACUCGAGUGUGGCAGAGGGGGGUGGAAUUCCACGUGUAGCAGUGAAAUGCGUAGAGAUGUGGAGGAACACCGAUGGCGAAGGCAGCCCCCUGGGUCAACACUGACGCUCAUGCACGAAAGCGUGGGUAGCAAACAGGAUUAGAUACCCUGGUAGUCCACGCCCUAAACGAUGCGAACUAGGUGUUGGAGAAGGAGACUUCUUUAGUACCGCAGCUAACGCGUGAAGUUCGCCGCCUGGGGAGUACGGUCGCAAGAUUA